UGGCUCUCGGCCAUCUGUGCCAGACUCGACCGGGAGGGUAGACGGGGGAGCGAUGAUCCUCACUUCCAGCCCUGCCCCCAAGGAACCCCAGGGCAGGAGGAGAUGCGGCUCCCCCUGUGACACAGUGACAGCCACCUUGCUGACAGCUCUCAUCUCCUUGGAUGAACUGCCAGCAAUUUCUAGGAGCAAGAUCUCCUGAUGGAAGCGACCAGGUCCCCGCAGGACUGGGAGACCAUCCCCCUCGCGCCCCACCCCCAGAAGGAGCAGGCAGCUGCCAGUUCCCUCCUGGAGUGCAGGGCUCUUGUCCUGGACGGUUGCCGGAGGGUUAGGGGACCGAGGAGGGGGGUGGGGAGUGCAAGGGCCACGUUCUGUUCACCCCCCCGGAGAAAGGGUCCGAUUCCCACAAAAGGACCUCCACCGCCCUGGUUCCAGGGCAUCCACCCCAACAGCCCCCCCCCCCCCAACUCCACACUGUGUGCUGAGCGGAGAGGGCGGGACCGAUGCGGGACACAGGGGGACUGUGGUGGCCACCUGAGCUGAGGUCACGGCCCUGACACUCGGCUGGGGGCAGUGUGUCUGCCCGGGAGGGACUCCCUGUCCCCUGUCCCCUGUCCGUGUCCCUGGAGGAGAGCCUCAGACCACACAUAGUCCCAUCAAGGCAUCUCACUAGCAGAGUGAUGUCCCUUGCUGUGCCUGUGCCCCCUGCUGACCGCCUCUCCCCGUCAGUAAAGAGGGGCAGUAACGUUGACCCCACCGGACCAUCAGGUUUUUGUUUUUAUCGCUGGUUAGUUCGAAUACAGGGCAAUGUUGGUUUGGGGAGUGGAAGUCGGUGACUCAUCGCUUGCAUGCAACACCGGGCGCUCAUCCAGACAAGUGUCCCCGUUAGUGCCCAUCCCCCACCCACCUCCCUCGUCACCCUCAGUCUGUUCUCUGUCUUUGAGAGUCUCCUCUGCUUCGUUUCCCUCUCGCUCCCCCCUCCCCCGCUUCCCACAUGUUCAUCUGUUUUGUUUCUUAAAUUCCACGCGUGAGUGAAAUCGUAUAUGGCACUUGUCUUUGUCUGCGGACCAUCAGGUUUUGAACACAGGCUUGGAGAAUCGGUGUGCCCCCCCAAAGCUGCCCGCUCGUGUACCACCCCGGGGCCCAGCAUCUAGACAAUGACUUCAAUAUUGUUCACGGGUCGGAAUCACUUUCAAAUUUUAAACCCGUCUGUUUUGAAAAGGAAACGUGUGUCACCGCUGUGCGUGAAAACUCAGUAUGGGUGACCCCGGAGAGAGCCGCAAGCCGAGACGCGCUGGCUUCGCCCCUUCCAGACCCGCCGAGCACACACACAGCCGUCUGGACCCUUUCAAAGUUCUGUGUCUGACGUUUUACAACCAGACCUCACGACCGUUCGGCCCCAGGUCUCUGUUGUCACGUGGCUGUCAGAGGCUACGUGACCUCCGGCUCCUGGAAAUGACCUUCAAGGCCGUCGAAAAGAGCACACGGUGCCAAGAGUGGGUACCCAGGGCUUGGGGGUCACGCCGCAGUGCAGCCAGUUCCCAUGGGCCGGGCUUGGAGGCCCGAGGGGCGAGUGCCUGCUGGUGUGCGGGCUCAGCUGGGCGGUGAUGUCCCCCAAACUCAUUUUUUUCUGGCCGUGCAACAGAAUAAAUAGGUAAACUAAACUCCUCUGACAUUGCAACACAGAGGCUGGCGGAGGGCUGAUAAGGUGGGAAAGGCCCCGGGGAAAAUACGUCUCGAAGGAAGAACCGUCCCGCCCUUAGCAAACAUAGCAAGGGAAACCCACACUGGCCAAGACGAGUGGUUAUCCGAUCAGGAACAGAACGUGUGUCCGAUCUCAGGUGCCUUCAGAGGGAACCUAGGUCGUGCUCACGUGGGGGCGACGCUGGGCCCCAAAGCUUCACGCAGCCAUCACCUGCUCCGGUGUCCAACGUUGGGGGGAGGGGGGGAUUUGGGCGGUGAGACCUGGCAGGGGGCACCCAGAGCUGGGCUGUUGUCCAAGUUCUUCCACGGACCCUGGACGCGAUGCUCCUCCGUGGGCCUCAGCACCUGACAGGUCGAAGGGGCGGGGUUCCGUGGGGGUCCCUGUCGUCCCCCACGGCGCAGCUGUUCAGGUGCAAAUGCAGGGCCGGCGACUGGAGCCCACGGAGGUGGCCAACACAGCUCGACAUUCGUGGUUUCCCAGAAACUGUGACAACCCAGAGAGUAUUUAGUUCCAAAACUCCGGGACGUAGGUAUUUCUAUUUACGCAUUGCCCGGGCAAGCCCCCGGGGACUGGAUGCGUGGCCGGCACAGCCCGGGUCCCCGGCUGCACCCUGGGGUGGGAUCUGAGCGCGGUGCCUGACCUCUUGCACAGGCGAGCACGUCAGUGACACAGGCGAGCGUGAAGCGUGACACAGGGACACGCGCGGUGCUUCCCAACGGCCGGGAUUCCUGCUUCCGUGUUCUACUAGCUCUGAGGGGGAGUCUUCGGCCACAGGCCCCUCCCUUGCUCGGAAAUCUGCAGCCCCCUGGCCAGGUGGGAACGUGCCCUAAAGAAGCCAACGAACCGAACCCCGAAUCCUUAGCCACACGGAUGUCUGCGGCUUUGCUCUGAAAAUUUAGAGAAGAGACAAGGGCCCCCUGAUCCGGCAUUUGGGUAGAGAAGGGACAGUGGACUCACGAAACAGUGCUCCCUUGCCUAGUGCUGUGCGUACACAUCGGAACGGACUUUAUAGAAGCCUGUGGGGGCACCCGUGCUUCAGAAUUUUAUCUGCGCAGACCUUCUGAGCCAGCAGCCGGCUGUGGGCAUGCGCCUGGGGGGGUCCCCCCCCAAAUGUACUGAGACACCCAGCAUUAUCAUCUACGGCGUUCGGCAGCUCUCGGGGCCAUCGGCACAUGCGCCGUGUCUGGCUGAGUCCCGUACGUGACCGUGUGGGAGCCCCUGUGUGCGCACAAGGACAGGGAGUGCCCCUCGGACCGAUUCGGUCUUCCCUGAACUUCAGACCAAGAAAUGGUGGCACAGGACCCUUCCACCAGCGCCAGACAGGCCGUGGCCAGAGCCACCCGGGGCCCUCGGGAUUCCGCAGCCGGCGUGCCACAAGCAGGUGGGGCACCUGGCGACGGCAGUGACUCCCGUAGAAAGAUCCACGGCUGCGGACGGUCGGCAUAGUGCGGGCGGCCCAGGUAGUGACACAAUCCUCCGUCCAGCAAGCCUGCCUGUGACGUCCAGAUUGUGAACGUGUGCGACAACGAACGACUGUCCGGAACUCGCAGCCAUUAGGAAGGAGCCCCCGAAGUCCCGAGCCGUUGUCAGAAGCAGGACGCAUGCAUGUCCCGAGUCUGUGUGCCCACAGCACAAACAAGGCCGUGAACAUGCACCGAAUGGGUGUCCCAAAGGGAACACGGUCCCCAGAAACGCAACAUGACAGCAGACAUGACGCAGCUUGGCUGGUGCCGACGUUGUACAAAUUCUCUUCCGUGAAGCUUGGUCUGUGUAACUUCGACAGCCAACUGGCCAGAAGGCUCUGGAGACCCAGUAUCGCCUGCUUCCACUCAGGACAGUAGAGUGACAGAGUUAGCCCCGUCUAGAAUUGAAGUGGCACCUGGGUGGCUCAGUCAGCUGAGCGUCGGUGGCUCAGUCUUGAUUUCAGCUCAGGUCAUGAUCUCUUGGUCCGUGGGAUCGAGCCCUGCAUCCGGCUCUGUGCUGACAGCACAGAGCCUGCUUGGGAUUCUGUCUCUCUCUCUCAAAAUAAUAAAUAAACAUUUAAAAACCUUUUUAAAAAUAAA